AUGCAUUAUGGAGACUGGAAAGACCAAGAGAGCAAAUGGAGGAAGAAGCAUAUUAAUUGGUCUGUAAAGGGAACUUAAGAGUGUGUCCAUCAAGGAGGAGUUACCUGUGUUCAUAACCAGGAAGACUGGGAGCUGAGAGGUUUCCCUCACUCAGUGCAGAGCAUUUUGGAACAGAGCCCUGUGUGUUGAGGAAGUUACAGCAAUAGAAAACACUACCCCCAUAUCCAGUCACAUGGAUGUCAUGAAGCUGAAUUCUUCUUUAACCAGGAGAAUAGAGGAGGAACCAAGAAAUGCUAGACCAGCUCAACUGAAUGUCUGUGAGCUGCCUCUGAUCCUGCCUGGAUACAACAUCCUGGACUUAGUUGAUUCAUCUUCCCUUUUAAACAGGAGCCAUCAAGCCACCUUGGUUGUGACAGUCUUCCAUUCUUCAAACAUUGAAGCCCCAGUCUAAACAUGGCUACAGGUCUUACCUUCACAUCACUGUGUUUUGAUUUUAGAUGGAUUACUACACCUGGAUCAUUUGAUUUUUCUUUGAUACUGAGCAAAACAGAAACAGGCAGACUUUGCAAGCUGCCAGAAGCUUUGAGUUCCCAUUUAGAGAACAUCAGAUGAGGAAAUGAUUUAGGCAUCACCAACAUGAAGGAAUGAGACUGGGUUCCUAUUUGGGAAAUUACACUGCUUUAAAUAUAAGGCUGAGAUUUGAGAUAUUUUUUGCAAAAUAAUUUUCUAAUUACUCCAGGCUUUAUACACUUAUGGGUUCUUCAGUCCUUGUGUCCUUGGGAAAAUGCAGGAAAAGAUUUGGGGUUGUUGUGGAGGGUAGUUUUGUACUCUGUCACAGGAUCAUGGCUCAGCAGAGAGAAGCUGUAGGUUUUGCCAUGGAAUGGCAUUCCAAAUUGCAGCUCCACUGAGUUUUUAUCCCCACUGCAAAACAGGACAAGAACCAUCUUUCAGGAGUAUAAUCCAAUGUCAGGGAAUACCUAUGUGACCCCAGAAGGGAGGGUACUUCAGAAACACAGAAUGUUAUUUUGAGCAUUAUUGCCAAUGAAUGCAUUUGUGACACCAAUUAAAAGCUUCUAAAAGACCACCUGCUUGUAGAACUUUGAGGUGAAAUGGACAUUGACAAUGGGCUUCUAUAGAAGCUAUCUUUUCAGAUUUAAUCUAUAUGUGCUGUAUGUGCACAAGACACUGCACAGCAGCCAUUCACUCAUGUUAGAAAGUAAUUGUGGUAUUCUGGAUGAUGAUUUGUUGAUUAGUUAAUUGCUGUCACUGAACAUACUGUAUGUACAUUAGCUGUCCUGUUCUAAUGAGAAACAGAACUCUUUAAUGUUCCUCUUCUGACAUAUUUUCAUUUUUAAUAUGCAAUUAAAAAAUUACAAAUGCAACCCUCAGAAGAGGUUGGACUAGACAGUCUCUGGAGGUGUCUUCCAAUUUCAGCUAUUCUGUGACUUUGUGAAAAUAUCUUGGAGUAUUUAAACAGCAUCAGGGGGAAUAUCAUCACCUGUAUGUGAACAGGUACUUGAAACACCAACAUGGCUGGCAGCACAAAUGAGACUGAAGUGAGUUGCUUUUAUCUCACACUGCAGCAGAAAUACCUUCAUUACGAAAUGUGAACGUGAGAGCUCACUGAGUGCCAUUUCAGAUAGGUGCUUGUUCCAUGUAAUGUGUAAAUACUUCUAAAAAGCAGGUAUCAAAAGCCAUUAUCUGGCUACAUUUCAGCUGUUCGCAUCUUUCUACACCUUACUCAACACCAGUACACAAUGAAUGUAUCUCUCUGUAAAGGACUGAAAGAAAAUUCCACAUUGCCAUCAAAAAGAGUGCAAGGCUGGGCCUUGGACAUAUGGGAUACAUUGCUGCCUGACCUUGUGAGCCCUUGGGCUCGUGUGACCUGUCAUCACAAUGGUGGUGGCACAAAUUGAGGUCUGCAUCUGUAAGUUUAGGCUUGGUGUUCCAUUUGGCAUGAUUGAUGGUGACGUCCUGCUCUACAAAAGAAAAAAAAAAUUAUCCCCCUCUCCCCUGUAUUUUCAUGAGGAUCACAUCUACCUGAAAGUUACCUUGGUUGUUGCUUACCCAGAUUUUUGCUGUGCUGUAACUUUCUGUCAACAUGAUCAUCUGUAUUUCAUGGAGUUUGUUCUGAAUAAGCCUGAACAAAACCGUCCAUUAUACCUGCUAAACAAAAUUUGUGUCACAAAUCAAACAAAAGUUUGAUCUGUGACACAAAAUGGCUUAGCCGGCAUCCCAAGCCUAGCACAAUACAUGCAAGCUUGUGUUGUAGGUCACCUACAGAUUGCCCGCCUGAAUGUCAAAAUUAAUUUUGUCACUAAAGUACCUGCAGCUGGGCACAAUGGAGGUGAUGUGACACUCUGAUACCAUUUAUUUUAACGAACAACAGGCACUCUUUGAAUGUGAAUUGAGUUCCAUUGCCACUUAGAAUCUAUAUAGCAACUUGAAAACAAGAACUUUAGCACUUCCACUCUCUGGGCUGAAGCAAUUUGCACAGAGUAUUGCAAGCUAUUUUCAAGGCUCAUCUAACAAAGCUGAAAAAAGUCAGUUUAUGCGAAGUGCAGAAAAGAAUUUCCUGAAUUCUACCUGCUGACUGUUGUACUGAAGAGCACAUAGUGUUUGUGGAUAAUCUGGAUGUUGCAUUGCCAUUGCUGAUCACCAUUUCCCCCACAGACUAGCUGGCCAGCAUCUAGCAAGUGAAGAAUCCUCACAUGCUUUUUGUAGCACAACAAACCUGGACUUGAUGAUCUGAGAGGUCCUAAAAAAACCAUUUUAAUAGUUUUAUGAUUCUAAGGCACAUCACAAGAGGUGACAACCCCUUCAGCUGUCAGUCCAUUUGCUUUAGUGCAGUAGAGAGGGGAUAAAGGACCAGAACCAGUUCACUUGGGAAAUGAAGCCCUGCUGCUGUGAGGGGAGAGGAACCCAUAGUAAGAAAUUACUUCUCAAGAAAAGAGCAUAAUUGUGAGACAUUUUGUAGUUGUAAUGCCUCACGGAUAGAUUUGAAUUUGCAUAUUACACACUAACCAGUCCCUUGUGCAUCAUUUAAGCUCUCUUCAUACAGGCAAUGCUCUGUCAGUUUUCAUAAUCCAGCUGCUUGUACAGGAAUUGUUCUGUUUUCCCUCUUGAACCUGUAUGUGAAAGCAGAAACAUUCUGUGCUCACAACUGGCUUUGUGGAAUACGUAUUUUUGUCAAAUCUCCACAAACUCAGAAAAUAUUUUGCCUGUGGAUUGAACAGGGGUUGCCACAUAAUGCAGCAAAUUUUGAAUUUCAUGAUCAGUGAAAGCUGAUCUAUUUCCUCCUUGAAGCUAUCAUUAGCAGAUGUUGCAGGCUUUUGGUGUCUGCUGCACAGUGCUCCACAGAGACACAGGUACAUAGGCUCAACUCUUUUCUCCAUCAGUAGGGUGAGGAGUCCCAGUGUCACAUGCUGCUGUUCUCAUUCCAUUUCUGCAAGCCUCAUGAUCACUCCCUGUUCCUUCACAGCUCUGGGGCAGCAUGACCAAACCUUAACGAGUGUGUCUGUAAUUUUCUGUGAAGCAUCAAGAAGCCUCAGUGGCACAGACAGAUUUCAAAAAGACAACAGUUAUUAUCCACAAACCCAUAAGGUCUUAGUACUUGCACAGCCACUCUGUGUCAGGGGCUUUGUGGCUCCUGUAAAUUGAAGACAGAAGAGUUACAGGAGUUGGUAACUACAAAGUUGUAGCUGAAAGUGACCUCCUCUUGCUUUAAACCUGUGUGCCUGCAUACCUGCUACUGAUGGACUGCCAGCCCAUUUCCACCAGUCAGGAUGACCCAGCCAUGCACUUCACCUCUCGCUGGAGCUAAACAGCCUCUCCUAAUCCGCUGGGAUCAAUUUGCCUUCCCUGCUGAUACAAUGGUGCCCUUGAGGGAAAGGAAGAGGGGUAUUUUGCCACCCCAUUAGACCAAAGCACCUCCUUCAGACACCUGUGCCUUUCUCUAAAGUCUCCAGCCCCAGUCCAGAGUACUGAAGAGCAUUACCAAGCCAUGCAGUCCAAAGCUGUGCAGGGGGGAAAUACACAAAAGCCUGUCAGUAUCCAAAUGUCUUGGCUCACCUCCAUGGGGCAAGUUUUGUAAGCCCAUGAUGGAAAAAGCCAAUUUGUACUUUUACUUCUACAAAUGCUGGAGGAGAUUGGACUGGAAAGGAGGGUGCAACACCGGGCUUUUCCCUAAUGCAGUCACACUGCUCUCACUGUGCCUGGGGGGCUGCACCAGGCAGCUCAUCCCACAUGGAGGGAGAGUCCAGCACUGCUUCUAAUGGGUGCACCAGGCUCAGCAACAGGAAGUCACCAUCCUCAUUUAGCUACAUGCACUUUUGAAAAGUGACUUGGCUGUGACACCAGAAGCAAAGGAGGUUGUGUUUUUCUGCUUGACGUUUGUAAGAGGAAGCCAAAGGCCAGCUGCUGGUUACACUGGCUGGCACAGGCUCCUCUUGGUUUCAGGGAUAAAACACACAGAUUUGAUGAAAGCAGCAAAUGGUGAAAUGCACAAAGCCGACCAUGACUGCUUCAAACUACAGCAUUUACCUGCUGUAGAUUAUUUUUGCAGAAUAGCAGCAGGUCACUGACUCACACGGGUAAGUAUUACCUGGCAGCAGAAUUGUCAUUGAUUUCAUACGAUUGAUUUCUCAGCCAAAGAGUUACAUACUAAAUCUUUUCUGUUAAAAGAACAAACUGCCAUGGCAGGAGAAAGUAAAUUAUUCUGGAAGACCACAGCUGAAAGACCAGAAAAUCUUUCAGAGACGUUUUUCACUGCCUGAUGGAGGAAAGAGACUUGUUUUGCUCCUUAGUACUUUCCAAGCAGUUAUUUUAUGGGUCUCAAACCUCCAUGUUGUCAAACCAGAAUUCUUCAUUAAAAAGAUCUUGCAUUCAAUAGUCAUCAACCCAACCAAAGGAGAUUGUAAGUACUAAAAUAUACAAUUAUACAGGACUGACUGCCAAGCAAACUGACAGGGGGAACUCAAACCAAGAUUGUUUUUCUAUUCUUAUCUUACCUCAUUAUAAGACAGAGCUUUUGUUCACCCUGGAAAGAGACAUGUUUCUGGUUUUGCACUCCUGUGCCAGUCUGAAUGUGUCCCCUUGUUCCUGCAAUGCCUGGCCUUUCAGUAGACUUGCUUUUCUCCUGGUCCAGUUCAUCAGAAAUACUACAUAGCCAUGUUUGUGACCCAUUUAUGAGGCUUCUUAAUCUGGAGUUCCCCAAAACAGCAUUUGGCAAAGACAGCUGCCUGGAAUUUAUUCUUUUACCUCUCUAGUGCCGGAGUCUGCUCAGUUCUUCGUCUGAAAUUAAUACAUACACAGGUAAAAUGUGUGUAUUCCUAUUGGCAGGAUAUAAGGUAAGAGGAAAGUGAAACAUGGAACCCUGGCCCCACAUUCCCCAACUUGAGAGUCCAAUUUGCCCUUGCUAUGCAGCCAGGGUAGGCAGCAGGAAGGCCAAGGCCAUACCCAGCUGCUGCAAUAAUAAAAUCUGCACAAGGAGCUCUACUGGCUCUGCACAUGGGUUUAUAUAGCAUGGAUUUACCUAAAAAGGGCGGCUCAAAAGAGUCUCCAUGCUCCUGUGCUCUUAUGCAGAGAUGUGUCUCACAUUCACUGGGCUAUUCCCAGUGAUCUGGGAGCAUGCUCAUGCCCAAGGAUGUAAUUGUACUCCCAAGCUUUUGGAGCUCAGGAAUGGCGUGGCUGUUAGAAGAAAAAUGUCUUACUGUAACUCUGCUCUUUUAGCACCUCACCACAAACACGCUGGCUCUUGGUCCUCCCUCAUUGCUGCCAGCCCUCUCUCUCGGCACUGCACCUGAGUCUCAUGGCUUCAGGGUUGCUCCUCACCCCCCACACCAGCCCUUGCUCCAUCCCUUGUUCUGCUUCCCCCACUCACCAACUUCUCUUCCUGUGUAAAUGCCUCUUUUCUCAGUGUCACUGAUGUCUACUCUGCUCUCAUCUUUCCACUGGAGUUCCCUACUCAUUGUGCCAUCUCACUAUUAUUCUGCAUCUUCCCUUCCUCUUCCGUACACAAGAUAAGAUCAGUCCUGGCUGCCUUUCAUGCCCCUUCCUCCACAGGACCAAACUUGUAGCACCUGUAUGCCAUCCUGUAUUGCUGCCUGGUCUCCAGUUGCUCCCACUGCAAUGCACUGAUUUUCUGGCCAUAGAAACACUCAGUAUCCCCUUCUGCACCCACAGCAAUCUGUGGAAAUUUGUACUCUUCUUCCAAGCCUUUCUGUUGAAUCAUCUUACCUUCUUAAAUGAAAUUUUUUACCAUUUGGAUUAAAGUUUCCCAUGCAUUGAUGAUUAACUUAGUUCAGAAACUUUUGAAGUAUGUUUUAAUAACAAAAUACUGUUCCUCCAGUGUUACGUACUUGGCAUUUAUACAGACCUAUUUCAUAUGAUAAUGUUAUCGUCUCCCCACAUUAGAGAAAGUUCUGUGUAGAAGAGUUAAUCAAAACUUAAUUUUCUCAAAGUAUCAUAGAUGAAUGCCUCUGAACCCAAUUAGUAUGCUUUCUGCUAGUCAAAUAGACACAAAGAUACUGAGGGUGGAGGAAGGAGAAAGGAGAGAUGAACAGUAUUUCGGUUGAAAUAAAUUCCUAUAAUGGGAGUCGAUUUGACUAUAAUUUGAUUGAAAAAUGUCUAUUGUUUUUACAUCCAGUGCUAAGAGAAGUGAAAAUGGUUUGCACUUAAAUUUUACUUUAGGCUUCUUUGUAACACCAAAAGAAAGUAUUAUUACUGUUCCC
ensembl:lncRNA